rnacentral:rRNA from 1 species
GAUGAACGCUGGCGGCGUGCCUAAUACAUGCAAGUCGAGCGAACAGACGAGGAGCUUGCUCCUCUGACGUUAGCGGCGGACGGGGGAGUAACACGUGGAUAACCUACCUAUAAGACUGGGAUAACUUCGGGAAACCGGAGCUAAUACCGGAUAAUAUAUGGAACCGCAUGGUUCAAUAGUGAAAGACGGUUUUGCUGUCACUUAUAGAUGGAUCCGCGCCGCAUUAGCUAGUUGGUAAGGUAACGGCUUACCAAGGCGACGAUGCGUAGCCGACCUGAGAGGGUGAUCGGCCACACUGGAACUGAGACACGGUCCAGACUCCUACGGGAGGCAGCAGUAGGGAAUCUUCCGCAAUGGGCGAAAGCCUGACGGAGCAACGCCGCGUGAGUGAUGAAGGUCUUCGGAUCGUAAAACUCUGUUAUUAGGGAAGAACAAAUGUGUAAGUAACUAUGCACGUCUUGACGGUACCUAAUCAGAAAGCCACGGCUAACUACGUG